rnacentral:rRNA from 1 species
GACGAAGGUGGCGAGCGUUGUUCGGAAUCACUGGGCAUAAAGCGCACGUAGGCGGUGGCGUAAGUCGGGUGUGAAAUCCCUCGGCCUAACCGAGGAACUGCGCCCGAUACUGCGUUGCUUGAGGACCAAAGGGGUGCAUGGAAUUUCAGGUGUAGCGGUGAAAUGCGUAGAUAUCUGAAGGAACAUCAGUGGCGAAAGCGACUUCCUGGACCAAUACUGACGCUCAUGUGCGAAAGCGUGGGGAGCAAACAGG